UUGCUCACUUCAGCAGCACAUACAAUAAAAUUUGAAUACAGAGAAGAUUAGCAUGGCCCUGUGCAAGGAUGCAUGCAAAUUGUGAAAUAAAGAGGGCGAGAGAGAGACUUGUUU
rnacentral:snRNA from 1 species